UUUCCUUCAGUCUGCCGAUGAUAAUGUAUCAGGGAGAAGAUUCGAUUAUUAAUUUUCACCUAAAUGCGCGCAUUUAAAUCUUGAUAUGUAGAGAAGUGCUGUGGAUCAGAGUUCAUGACAGCAACCAUGGUUCUCCUCUACACAUUUUAUACUCACAACAAUCUUUAGACUGAGCAAGAGUGACUGGUCUAAGGUCACCAAGAAAGCUUCAAGACUGACUGGGUUUUGCAGCAAAUGAACAAAAGGCAGCAAUGAAAACCUACAACACAAUGACUGGCAAGUAUAAAGAAGACACAGUUGUGUAGGACCCCUUUGGUGUUCUUUUUAAAAAGGAACUCCACUACUGCAAUUGAACCCAUCGGAACAUGAAAUGAAACUAUAUUUCAUGAAUCUAUGGAAGCAAACCGCAGCCUGCAUUUCUGCCCAGUAAAAAGCUAUGAAUUAAACUAGGCAGCAAUGGGAAAAGACUGGGCAUUCCAUGAAAACAAAUCUCUUCAGCAGAAUUCAGUAUGUUGGAGAAAUUAUGUUCUCACAGAAAUAAUAAUGGUACUAACUGCACUAUUCUGUAUGUUUAUUUCAAGUGAUUAUUUGAGUUGGUUUUGUUAAAAAAAGACAGUAUGUCUGCUUCCUUUCUAAAGAACAAAAAUCUUCAGGGAAUCUGUUUUGGUGGCUGCUAAAAUCACUGCUUACCAUGCAUUUUAAUAAAGU